rnacentral:rRNA from 1 species
AUGAACGCUAGCUACAGGCUUAACACAUGCAAGUCGAGGGGCAGCAUGAACUUAGCUUGCUAAGUUUGAUGGCGACCGGCGCACGGGUGAGUAACACGUAUCCAACCUGCCGAUGACUCGGGGAUAGCCUUUCGAAAGAAAGAUUAAUACCCGAUGGCAUAGUUCUUCCGCAUGGUGGAACUAUUAAAGAAUUUCGGUCAUCGAUGGGGAUGCGUUCCAUUAGGUUGUUGGCGGGGUAACGGCCCACCAAGCCUUCGAUGGAUAGGGGUUCUGAGAGGAAGGUCCCCCACAUUGGAACUGAGACACGGUCCAAACUCCUACGGGAGGCAGCAGUGAGGAAUAUUGGUCAAUGGACGAGAGUCUGAACCAGCCAAGUAGCGUGAAGGAUGACUGCCCUAUGGGUUGUAAACUUCUUUUAUACGGGAAUAAAGUGAGGCACGUGUGCCUUUUUGUAUGUACCGUAUGAAUAAGGAUCGGCUAACUCCGUGCCAGCAGCCGCGGUAAUACGGAGGAUCCGAGCGUUAUCCGGAUUUAUUGGGUUUAAAGGGAGCGUAGGCGGACGCUUAAGUCAGUUGUGAAAGUUUGCGGCUCAACCGUAAAAUUGCAGUUGAUACUGGGUGUCUUGAGUACAGUAGAGGCAGGCGGAAUUCGUGGUGUAGCGGUGAAAUGCUUAGAUAUCACGAAGAACUCCGAUUGCGAAGGCAGCUUGCUGGACUGUAACUGACGCUGAUGCUCGAAAGUGUGGGUAUCAAACAGGAUUAGAUACCCUGGUAGUCCACACAGUAAACGAUGAAUACUCGCUGUUUGCGAUAUACAGUAAGCGGCCAAGCGAAAGCGUUAAGUAUUCCACCUGGGGAGUACGCCGGCGACGUUGAAACUCAAAGGAAUUGACGGGGGCCCGCACAAGCGGAGGAACAUGUGGUUUAAUUCGAUGAUACGCGAGGAACCUUACCCGGGCUUGAAAGUUAGCGACGAUUCUUGAAAGAGGAUUUCCCUUCGGGGCGCGAAACUAGGUGCUGCAUGGUUGUCGUCAGCUCGUGUCGUGAGAUGUUGGGUUAAGUCCCGCAACGAGCGCAACCCUUAUCGAUAGUUACCAUCAGGUUAUGCUGGGGACUCUGUCGAGACUGCCGUCGUAAGAUGUGAGGAAGGUGGGGAUGACGUCAAAUCAGCACGGCCCUUACGUCCGGGGCUACACACGUGUUACAAUGGGGGGUACAGAAGGCAGCUACACGGCGACGUGAUGCUAAUCCCGAAAGCCUCUCUCAGUUCGGAUUGGAGUCUGCAACCCGACUCCAUGAAGCUGGAUUCGCUAGUAAUCGCGCAUCAGCCACGGCGCGGUGAAUACGUUCCCGGGCCUUGUACACACCGCCCGUCAAGCCAUGAAAGCCGGGGGUACCUGAAGUGCGUAACCGCGAGGAGCGCCCUAGGGUAAAACUGGUGAUUGGGGCU